AACGAACGCUGGCGGCAGGCCUAACACAUGCAAGUCGAACGCACCGCAAGGUGAGUGGCGCACGGGUGAGUAACACGUGGGAAUGUACCCUUUGGUUCGGAAUAACGUUUGGAAACGAACGCUAAUACCGGAUGAGCCCUGUGGGGGAAAGAUUUAUCGCCAAAGGAGCAGCCCGCGUCUGAUUAGCUAGUUGGUGGGGUAAAGGCCUACCAAGGCGACGAUCAGUAGCUGGUCUGAGAGGAUGAUCAGCCACACUGGGACUGAGACACGGCCCAGACUCCUACGGGAGGCAGCAGUGGGGAAUAUUGGACAAUGGGCGGAAGCCUGAUCCAGCCAUGCCGCGUGAGUGAUGAAGGCCUCGGGUUGUAAGCUCUUUCGCACGCGACGAUGAUGACGGUAGCGUGAGAAGAAGCCCCGGCUAACUUCGUGCCAGCAGCCGCGGUAAU
rnacentral:rRNA from 1 species